UUCAUAAAAAUUAAGCAAUCAUCUGCGAAUAGGAGAUGGGAAAUCCACGGGGGCAGAGUUGCUCACUCGGAUCCCCCUAUCAAUCCAUCCACCCUCAAACACUUGUACGGGCAAUGUCUUCCCAAAAACAUGGAGGGCCGCUGUAUUACAGAGGGCGGUGUCAUGGUCCAACUACCUGGUGGUGCAGGUGCCAUAAUCCAGGGCGGCGGCGAGGAGCUCUUUAGGGCCGACCUGUCAAAGUUGUAGAUCUGGGCUGGGUUCGCGGAGCGGCACAGCCGUGUCUACUCCGGCCGGUACGCCAGUCUCAACAUCGCCAUAAAGAUGGCUAGCCAGCCCUAGCAGGAUGCCGCCCAGCUGAAGCACCCGUUCGCCUGCGAGGUCGCCCGACGCCUUCGCCACCACAUCCUCGUACGUGCUACAAUCCUCUUUUUUCCUCUGCCGCCACCUCAUCCGCUCCGUCAAUCUCACCUGAUCCACCACCGCAGGUACUGGUACAGGGACAGAUCCAUGUGUUUUUGCUGGAUCCUCUGAUUCUAGGCUAUUUUUCCUAUCAGUACUACAACAUCUGUACUAGGUUGUCCGCCAUAGUGUUGUAGAUCACGGCAGGCCCAACCAGCCGCUACUCCUUUCUAGGCAUUUUAGUUAAUCUUAUGCUUGCCUCUAUUAAUUUCCUAUAUCCGGUACUCAUGUUCACCAUGUGAAAGUUGUUGCUAGUCAUCUUUUUUCUUUGAUUUGGAUAUAUGCAAUUGUGUCUGUGUGUGUUAACUUGAGAAGAAUAUUUACAUCCUAUUUUACUAACAAAUUUCUUUGUUGUGAUGCAUUAUGUUUUUGAUAUUCUUGCUGCUAGCAGUUCGGUAAUUAAUAAAGAUUAGACAGUGAAAUUAAUCAUCACACACUUGUUCAAUCAGCUGUCAUAUUAUCUCAGAUAUAUCUUAGCUAUGAUCAUUUUAUCAAAGAGCAUUGCUUACAAGAUCGUUGAAUAUAGCCUCGAUGAAGUUUCUAGAUGCACUAGAGGAAGAAGUCAGCACUAGUGUCAAUCUGUGGCAUCAUGAUUAAAUCGAGGAUAAAAACAAAAAAUCCCCUUAUUAGUUUUAUGAAUCCUUAUUGAUUUCGUUGUCACACUUUGUACCAAAGGAAUAAGCCCCACAUGCAUCACUCCAUAAAUUUAUUCCAUAUUCCUUAAAUUCAGCCGCACUCAUAGGUUUGUAAUUUGUUGGAAUUUCGCCCUCUGGAAUCGAUCGCAUCAAAACACAAUGAACACAUGCGCACAAAAAAUUGAUAGCCAAGGCCCUUGUCGUGCCCUUAUUUCCUCUUUAUUUCUUUUCUUCUUUUCUCUAGGUACAAAACUCACGCACCCUGCCCCUAUAUAUUGGUGCAGGACCUGAACUGACUCAUGCCACCGACCCAGACUCCUUUUUCCUAACCUAUACAGACUUCAAUUACAAACCAGACUCGGUGUGCAAGGCAACUCCAGCCGAACAGAACACGAACACCUAUAGACGUACUACUACUCAAGCACAUGUAUAGGACUAGCACCGACCUUGGACUUACCUAAUCCUAAUUACACGGCAACGCUGAUCACUUUCUAGUUAAAUCAAACUCAAACACAAUUUAAUACUUCUAGCACGUAGGCAUGUUUGGAUUAUCCAACAUAAUUUUCAACAUCUGUGUAUGCAUGUUGUGAUCUUAACAACACGUCUUAUUUUCUUUCUCCAGGCUGAUUGUAUUACACUAUAACUUGUUAUGGUGACAAGGGUAUUUAUCUUCAGGGAACGACCAUGAUAUAUAUAGAGGCUUCUGUAGAAAGAGGAGGCCGCUUCAUGAUUCCCCUAUGCUUCUUUGACAUAACCUCCACAGAGCAAAGAUUUGAGUUGCUCGAUUUAACCUAUUCUGUACUAUGCCUUGGUUGUAUAUAAGCUAUAUUUCUCCCGUACACCCUAAAUAUAGAACUUUGUUAUAAUUUAAUAAAUGAGUAUGUGUGGGUUUAUGCAGUUUCUUAUCUGAACAAGCGGUGUAUAUUCAGAACUGAAGAUGCAGGGAAUUUACGAGAAAUAGAAUGUCAUCAGUUUACAAAGAAAAUGUUAAGUCUCGAAGUCUUUAUGUUUCCACUUCAUAGCAUGAACUGCAGAUCUUUCUUAGCAAACAAAGGAUAUGUGGUAUGUCAGCACAUGAUUUUAUUCAAGAGAGGUUUUAUCAUCGGAAAUAAAUGAUCAAAGUAUUUGUCAGGUGUUGAUUAGUACUCUCCUCUUAUGUGUACAGAGCUACUGAUGCCACGGCCUUGAACCUUUAUUGCAAGAUAAACAGAUGAUGCAUGGCUCAGAUGUUGAUUGUAAGGUCAAGAAUGGGGAUGGUAGUUAGAUAAUUAGAAUGCCAUUUUCAGGGUCAAUGUUUCAAACAUUGUGUUUUAGAAUGGCUGAUAAGUAUUGAUUGCAAGGUUAAGAAUUGCCUACUAGUACUAGGUAGUUUCACAUCUUGUAAACUUUGGAUCAUGUUCUUUGUAAUGAAAGAUAUUCGAUUAAAUAUAUGAGACAUUUUUGCUCAUUA